rnacentral:rRNA from 1 species
GCUCUAUACCCUUUGUGACAUACCUAUAACUGUUGCUUCGGCGGGUAGGGUCUCCGUGACCCUCCCGGCCUCCCGCCCCCGGGCGGGUCGGCGCCCGCCGGAGGAUAACCAAACUCUGAUUUAACGACGUUUCUUCUGAGUGGUACAAGCAAAUAAUCAAAACUUUUAACAACGGAUCUCUUGGUUCUGGCAUCGAUGAAGAACGCAGCGAAAUGCGAUAAGUAAUGUGAAUUGCAGAAUUCAGUGAAUCAUCGAAUCUUUGAACGCACAUUGCGCCCGCCAGCAUUCUGGCGGGCAUGCCUGUUCGAGCGUCAUUUCAACCCUCAAGCUCUGCUUGGUGUUGGGGCCCUACAGCUGAUGUAGGCCCUCAAAGGUAGUGGCGGACCCUCCCGGAGCCUCCUUUGCGUAGUAACUUUACGUCUCGCACUGGGAUCCGGAGGGACUCUUGCCGUAAAACCCCCAAUUUUCCAAAGGUUGACCUCGGAUCAGGUAGGAAUACCCGCUGAACUUAAGCAUAUCAAUAAGCGGAGGAA